rnacentral:rRNA from 1 species
GACAGAGGUGCCGAGCGUUAGGCGGAAUCACUGGGCUUAAAGCGUGUGUAGGCGGGGCGUUAAGUGCUUUGUGAAAUCCCACGGCUCAACCGUGGAACUGCUGGGUAUACUGGUUGUCUUGAGCCAGCUAGGGGCGAGCGGAACAGACGGUGGAGCGGUGAAAUGCGUAGAUAUCGUCUGGAACGCCGAAGGUGAAAACAGCUCGCUGGGGCUGCGCUGACGCUGAGACACGAAAGCCAGGGGAGCGAACGGG